GUGCUUGUUUCAGCAGUACAUAUACUAAAAUUGGAAUGAUACAGAGAAGACAGCAAUGGCCCCUGGGGCAAGACGUGUGAGUAACCAGAUCAGUAAUAAUCCCUA
rnacentral:snRNA from 1 species